CUCUCUCUCUCUCUCUCUCUCCUAGAAGGUUAACCCUAACCCCAAAUCUCCAUGACAUGACUUGAGCUAAGAGCCCAGUACGUCUAAGCUCCAUUACUGGUCGAAUCAAAAAAAUUAGAAUUAAAAAUAGAAAGGCAGAAAACGAUGCCGUCUCAUGGUGACCUGGACCGGCAGAUCGAGCACCUGAUGCAGUGUAAGCCACUGACGGAAGCGGAAGUGAAGGCACUGUGCGAGCAAGCAAGAGCGAUCCUGGUGGAGGAAUGGAACGUGCAGCCCGUCAAAUGCCCCGUCACUGUCUGCGGUGAUAUUCACGGCCAGUUCCAUGAUCUUGUCGAGCUCUUUCGCAUCGGUGGAAACGCCCCCGACACUAACUAUCUUUUCAUGGGCGACUAUGUCGGUCAGUCUCUUACUAUUUAGUUAUGGACAUGUAUUUUCUAUUAUGUUGAGCUGGAGCUGAGCUUCAAUAUCUGGAAUUUUUUGUUUUUUAAAAGAACAAAAGAUUGAUCAAGCUUACUGAAAGAGAUAAUAUAGAUUUCAAAGUUUGAGAUUUGUAAGUCAUAUGUUUUCAAGCCUUUUUUUUUUUUAGUUUUUGUUAUUAGGUAUUAACCUACAUAUCAUAGAAUAUUUAGCGAAAUUUCUGAAAAUGAUUGCCUGGGGAUGUUGGAGUAUGGUUGCCCACUGUUAUGAUAGUUAAUGUGCGUUGUUUUAAUUUAAGCAAUGAGAAUAUGAUUAAAGUGGCGUAGAUAACAUAGAAGCUAUACCUUCAUUCUACUGGAAAGAGUUAGUUGCGCGUCAGCAGAUGGGUAAGCACUGUGCAAUGUUUAUAUUGAAGCGUUACAACCACAUUUUAUGAUAAAUAAAACUAGGAUUACUCUAACAGGGGUUCUUGCCCAUGUACACUAGGAGUAAACUGGUAGUUCUUUGCAGAAAAUGUUAUGAACAAGGAUUUCUGGUAUCAGAAUGAUGAAAAAAGAAACUCUCCCCAUAGUGAGAAAUAUGUAACCAGUUUUUUUUAUGGUUCGAUAGCAGCAUUUACCCACUUUCAAAAGCCUUAAAGUUCCUCUCUCUUUUGAUUACUUUAGGUCAAUUGUUAGAGGACCAGAACUUAUUUCUGAUAUGAGCAUGCACAAGUGGAGUAUCUAUUAUAUUCCUUUCUGCCAUUGAAGCUAUGCUUCUCUGUCUCUGUAGUCUGUAAUCAUGUUUUCUAACUUGGUAUACCAGAAAUUGCAACUGUAUUUAAUUUUUCCCCCCUUUCUUCUUUUGCUAUUCUGUAGAUCGAGGAUAUUACUCAGUGGAAACUGUGACUCUUUUAGUAGCUCUGAAAGUUCGAUAUAGAGAUAGGAUUACAAUUCUAAGAGGGAACCAUGAAAGUCGUCAAAUAACUCAAGUGUAAGAGCUCUAUUCAUUUGAAGUUCGCUUAUUCAUAGUUGCACUAUUAUUACCUGUGCUUGUGAAAUUAACCUAUACUAGCAGUUGUGGGUCUAAAACUGCUUCCUUGCAUGCUUCCUAGUUUUAAAUUUUCUUGAGUUAUGACUGAUGAAUGCAUUGUUUAAAUGUCCUUAUUUUUUGUCCAAUUUUCUUUUGUUUUAAAGUCACAGAGUGAAAUGAACAAGGACAGAUAGCAUGAAUGGAUAAUUCUCUUCAUUUUAUUUAUAAAUAUGAGCCAUUCAAUCAAAUUCCUGUGCAUAUGGCAAUGGAACCCAGAACAAUACAAUGUGCUGAUGCCUUGGUGUUCUAGUUAUUUGGUCAUGUAAAUGAUGCAUUAUAAAAUCCACAGUUCCUACCAAUAACUACUUUUUUUGUUUAUCUCUUCAGGUACGGUUUUUAUGAUGAAUGCUUAAGAAAA
rnacentral:misc_RNA from 1 species